rnacentral:misc_RNA from 1 species
AUUGCCGCCAUACGGCCGAUACAGGCACUGAACUCGUCGCCAUGUGCGCGGACACCGCGCAUACCAGCGAUGCCCGCCGAACGGCUGAGGAAAACGCUCGAGUCUUAGUGUUUCAUCUAUUUUCCGUUCACUGCCAUCCUCG